rnacentral:misc_RNA from 1 species
GUAUUAUCAUUAGUAUUAAUACGUUCUAAUGGAUCUGCAACCAUGGAUUUUCUUAAGUAUCCAUUUUCAUAGCCCUGGCGAACACCCUGGUUCACCUGAUCUUUAAGCGGCUUACCUUCCCAGCAUACAUGUUGUCCAAUUUCCAUUAUAACGAUACAAGUGCCGGUAUCAUGGCAGCAUGCAAGUUGUUCUUUUUUUGCAUACUCUCCAUUAUCAAUUAAUAUCUUAAUGGUUUCCUUGCCGAUCUUUGACUCUUCUUUAUCAUAUGCUUUACGAAAAGAACACAUGAGAUUAUCAUCCAGUUCAUAUCAAGCUUUUUUUACAAGUUUUUCGAUAACCGGAAUGAUAAUUUCUGUAUUUAAUAUACGACUCAUACUCCCUCCAGUGCUAUGUUGCAUUGUUUUAUCC